rnacentral:rRNA from 1 species
AACGCGAAGAACCUUACCUGGGUUUGACAUCCCUUGACCGGCACAGAGAUGUGUCUUUUGUAGCAAUACAACAAGGAGACAGGUGCUGCAUGGCUGUCGUCAGCUCGUGUGGUGACAUGUUGGGUUAAGUCCCGCAACGAGCGCAACCCCUGUCCUUAGUUGCCAGCAUUCAGUUGGGCUCUCUAAGGAGACUGCCGUGGUGAACACGGAGGAAGGUGGGGAUGACGUCAAGUCCUCAUGGCCUUUAUAUCCAGGGCGACACACGUGAUACAAUGGACGGUACAGAGGGACGCCAAGGAGCGAUCCGGAGCCAAUCCCAAAAAGCCGUUCUCAGUUCGGAUUGGAGUCUGCAAUUCGACUCCAUGAAGUUGGAAUCGCUAGUAAUCGCGGAUCAGCACGCCGCGGUGAAUACGUUCCCGGGCCUUGUACACACCGUAGAGAC